GACGAACGCUGGCGGCGUGCUUAACACAUGCAAGUCAAGCGGAAAGGCCCUUUCGGGGGUACUCUAGCGGCGAACGGGUGAGUAACACGUGAGUAAUCUGCCCCUGGCUUUGGGAUAGCCACCGGAAACGGUGAUUAAUACCGGAUACGACCACUUCUCGCAUGGGAUGGUGGUGGAAAGUUUUUCGGCCAGGGAUGUGCUCGCGGCCUAUCAGCUUGAUGGUGAGGUAAUGGCUCACCAUGGCUUCGACGGGUAGCCGGCCUGAGAGGGUGACCGGUCACACGGGGACUGAGACACGGCCAAGACGCCGACGGGAGGCAGCAGUGGGGAAUUUUGGACAAGGGGCGGAAGCCUGAUCCAGCAACGCCGCGUGAGGGAUGACGGCCUUCGGGUUGUAAACCUCUUUCAGCAGGGACGAAGCGAAAGGGACGGUACCUGCAGAAGAAGCACCGGCCAACUACGUGCCAGCCGCCGCCGUAA
rnacentral:rRNA from 1 species